rnacentral:rRNA from 1 species
AUGCAGUCGACGAUGAACCACUUCGGUGGGGAUUAGUGGCGAACGGGUGAGUAACACGUGGGCAAUCUGCCCUUCACUCUGGGACAAGCCCUGGAAACGGGGUCUAAUACCGGAUAACACUAUCGCGGGCAUCUGUGAGGGUGGAAGCUCCGGCGGUGAAGGAUGAGCCCGCGGCCUAUCAGCUUGUUGGUGAGGUAAUGGCUCACCAAGGCGACGACGGGUAGCCGGCCUGAGAGGGCGACCGGCCACACUGGGACUGAGACACGGCCCAGACUCCUACGGGAGGCAGCAGUGGGGAAUAUUGCACAAUGGGCGAAAGCCUGAUGCAGCGACGCCGCGUGAGGGAUGACGGCCUUCGGGUUGUAAACCUCUUUCAGCAGGGAAGAAGCGAAAGUGACGGUACCUGCAGAAGAAGCGCCGGCUAACUACGUGCCAGCAGCCGCGGUAAUACGUAGGGCGCAAGCGUUGUCCGGAAUUAUUGGGCGUAAAGAGCUCGUAGGCGGCUUGUCACGUCGAUUGUGAAAGCCCGAGGCUUAACCUCGGGUCUGCAGUCGAUACGGGCUAGCUAGAGUGUGGUAGGGG